UGCGUGGUUCUCUGCGCCUUGCACCCUUCUUAGAGGGACAAGCGGCUCCCUCUGGCGGCUCCUAGCCGCACGAAACAGAGCAAUAACAGGUCUGUGGUGCUAUAGAUGUCCGGGGCCGCACGCGCGCUACACUGAAUGAAGCAGCGUGUUUUUAUCCCUGUCUGUAAAGACGGGGUAACCCGUGGAAUGCAGAGUCUCGGCCGACAUCGGUGCUGUUACUCAGUGGAUCCACAGUCAGUGUGGACUUUUCGCGCCUAUAAUCUUAAGGA
rfam:Ixodes scapularis strain Wikel colony gcontig_1107729147052, whole genome shotgun sequence.